rnacentral:rRNA from 1 species
UACAGAGGUCCCGAGCGUUGUUCGGAUUCAUUGGGCGUAAAGGGUGCGUAGGCGGCGGGGAAAGUCUGAUGUGAAAUCCUGGGGCUCAACCCUGGAACUGCAUUGGAUACUUCCUUGCUAGAGUACUGGAGAGGAAACUGGAAUUUACGGUGUAGCAGUGAAAUGCGUAGAGAUCGUAAGGAAGACCAGUGGCGAAGGCGAGUUUCUGGACAGUUACUGACGCUGAGGCACGAAAGCGUGGGGAGCAAACAGG